rnacentral:rRNA from 1 species
GGGAAAGAUUUAUCGCCAUUGGAUGGGCCCGCGUCGGAUUAGCUAGUUGGUGAGGUAAUGGCUCACCAAGGCGACGAUCCGUAGCUGGUCUGAGAGGAUGAUCAGCCACACUGGGACUGAGACACGGCCCAGACUCCUACGGGAGGCAGCAGUGGGGAAUAUUGGACAAUGGGCGCAAGCCUGAUCCAGCCAUGCCGCGUGAGUGACGAAGGCCUUAGGGUUGUAAAGCUCUUUUGGCGGGGACGAUAAUGACGGUACCCGCAGAAUAAGCCCCGGCUAACUUCGUGCCAGCAGCCGCGGUAAUACGAAGGGGGCUAGCGUUGUUCGGAAUCACUGGGCGUAAAGCGCACGUAGGCGGAUUUGUUAGUCAGGGGUGAAAUCCCGGGGGCUCAACCUCGGAACUGCCUUUGAUACUGCAAGUCUCGAGUCCGGAAGAGGUGAGUGGAAUUCCUAGUGUAGAGGUGAAAUUCGUAGAUAUUAGGAAGAACACCAGUGGCGAAGGCGGCUCACUGGUCCGGU